rnacentral:rRNA from 1 species
UUUAUGGAGAGUUUGAUCCUGGCUCAGGAUGAACGCUGGCGGCGUGCCUAAUACAUGCAAGUCGAGCGAACGGACGAGAAGCUUGCUUCUCUGAUGUUAGCGGCGGACGGGUGAGUAACACGUGGAUAACCUACCUAUAAGACUGGGAUAACUUCGGGAAACCGGG